rnacentral:rRNA from 1 species
UACGUAGGGGGCAAGCGUUGUCCGGAUUUAUUGGGCGUAAAGAGCGUGUAGGCGGCUUUACAGGUCCGUUGUGAAAACUCGAGGCUCAACCUCGAGACGCCGGUGGAAAACCGUAAAGCUAGAGUCCGGAAGAGGAGAGUGGAAUUCCUGGUGUAGCGGUGAAAUGCGCAGAUAUCAGGAAGAACACCCGUGGCGGAAGGCGGCUCUCUGGGACGGUACUGACGCUGAGACGCGAAAGCGUGGGGAGCGAACAGG